UGGUCUGCAUGAAAACCAUACAGCUAAUUCUAGUAGGCCUGGUCUCCAGGAACCAGAGGUUAACAGGGAAGAGUUUUACAUCGACUCUGCAGAGUCAGAAGUAUCAGACCUGGAUGAGGCUGUCCUGGCUUCCCCUGAACAAAAUGAUUCACAUGUAUGUGUCAUGAACAACACCGCCAGAACUGCUGUGGAUGUUUUUAUGUAGUCGUGACACCUCUCUCUCCCCCCCCCCCACCCCCCUCCUUCAGGAUGAGAUGGACCUUGCUACUGUCCUGAAAGACUUCCAGGAAACGCAUCUUGACACCAGCAAUUAUUGUACAGUAAUAGCCCGACGAAGGAAAAUCCUACAUAGUGCCUGCAUGGCACUUUCGAAGUCAUAUUUUGCCUGGCAUAAAUUACCAAACAUUGAAUUCGUUGGUGAAAUGGCCGAUGAUUAUGGAGGCCCAAGGCGGGAAUUUUUUCGCUUACUUAUGGUCGAAACUCAGAAUUCCCUAGGGAUUUUGAGGGGAAGCCUGGCAGUCUGCUGUUCAGUUAUAGCCAGCAGUUGCUGUCAAGCAACAAGUUUUAUAUGGCUGGUAAACUGAUUGCUUGGUCGAUAGCACACAAUGGGCCAGGGCCACGGUGUAUCAAUAGACACCUGUUCUGUUUGAUGUGUGGCCAGAAGACAUCUCUUGAUGACUUUGAUGUCGAGGUCUUCAUGGACGAUGACAUUAAACAGAACAUAGAAAAGGUUUCCAACUGCAGCACCCCAGAAGACCUGGCAGACUUGAAAAGUCACCUUGGGGACUGGAUUGCAGGCUGUGGUAUCCCUGACAUCUACACUGCCACACUACUUGAUGUUAAGAGGAUAAGGGGCGAGAUUGUAUCUCAUUUUGCGUUUCACAGGGUUGCCAGCAUGAUUCAACAGUUUGUUGCCGGUAUGGACUCGUGUGGUCAAUUCUGGCAAAUGGUGAAGAGAUGCUGGAAGCAGUUCCUUCCUGUAUUUACAAAUGCAGGAAAUAAACUUACAAGGAACAGCUUCCAGGAUCUCUUCACCAUUGGAUGGAGUCCAGCUGGAAGUAACAGACGUGAAGAAGAGGAAGCCACCAUCUUUCAGUGGGAAUGGUGGCUUAUGGCCAUUCAGGAGCAAGAGGUGGACAACACGUUUGAAGAGCUGCUGGUCUUCAUAACUGGGCUGACUUACUUCCACCACUGGGGUUCCCACAGUCCUGCAACAUAGACUUUUACGAUCAGGAGCCGGGGAUGCGGCGCAUCCCAUACGCAUCAACGUGCAGCUUAUCCCUGUAUCUUCCAAGAGGUGUUGCAGAUGAAGAUCAAUUUAAAGAUCUUAUGAACGAUGCAUUAAAAGGAUCCCUUGGAUUUGGAAAGGUGUAGCUGCAUACAUGAACUGA
rnacentral:lncRNA from 1 species